GUCCACGCCGUAAACGAUGGGUACUAGGUGUUGAAGGUAUUGACCCCUUCAGUGCCGCAGUUAACGCAAUAAGUACCCCGCCUGGGGAGUACGGCCGCAAGGCUAAAACUCAAAGGAAUUGACGGGGGCCCGCACAAGCGGUGGAGCAUGUGGUUUAAUUCGACGCAACGCGAAGAACCUUACCCAGACUUGACAUCGAUAGAAUCCGCCAGAGAUGGUGGAGUGCCCUUCGGGGCCUAGAAGACAGGUGCUGCAUGGCUGUCGU
rnacentral:rRNA from 1 species